GGAGCUAUACAAGCAUCUUCAACAUUGUUCUACAUUACUUCUAAGCCAGAUAACAGAAUAUCUGGAGUCUUUUUGUGAAUCUGAUGAAGCCACCAAAUUGUCCACAGUUCCAAAGGGUCCCAAGGCUCUUGGAGACCUACUUGAAAGUAUAGCAGGGGCAAUGUUAGUUGAUACAAAGUUUGACCUUGAUGAAGUGUGGAGAAUAUUUAAGCCACUGUUGUCUCCAAUUGCAACACCUGAGAGUCUGGAGCUGCCUCCAUUGCGUGAACUGAUUGAAUUAUGCGACUCUCAUGGAUAUUUUAUAAAAGAAAGAUGUACAAUUAAGAAUGACAUUGUGCAUGCGCAUCUUAGACUACAGCUGAAUGAUGUUCUUUUGGUUGGAGACGGAUAUGAUCGGAACAGAAAAACUGCAAAAGGAAAAGCGGCUUCUCAUUUGUUGAAGGAACUUGAGAAUAGAGGAAUAAGGUACUCCCGAGGUGAUUCAAAGAGGAAACAAGAUCCUGAUCACGUUGUUGAUUCAUCUUCCCUAGACCUA
rnacentral:misc_RNA from 1 species